UACAGAGGUCUCAAUCCUUGUUCGUAUUCAUUGGGCGUAAAGGGGGCGUAGGCGGCGCGGUAAUUCGGGUGUGAAAUCUCGGAGCUUAACUCCGAAACUGCAUUCGAUACUGCCGUGCUUGAGGACUGGAGAGGAGACUGGAAUUUACGGUGUAGCGGUGAAAUGCGUAGAUAUCGUAAGGAAGACCAGUGGCGAAGGCGGGUCUCUGGACAGUUCCUGACGCUGAGGCACGAAGGUCAGGGGAGCAAACGGG
rnacentral:rRNA from 1 species